rnacentral:tRNA from 1 species
UAGAGCAUGCGGCUGUUAACCGCAGGGUCGUUGGUUCGAGCCCAACAGGGGGAG